rnacentral:rRNA from 1 species
UGGGGAAUAUUGCACAAUGGACGAAAGUCUGAUGCAGCAACGCCGCGUGGAGGAUGACACAUUUCGGGGCGUAAACUCCUUUUAUAUAGGAAGAUAAUGACGGUACUAUAUGAAUAAUCACCGGCUAACUCCGUGCCAGCAGCCGCGGUAAUACGGAGGGUGCAAGCGUUACUCGGAAUCACUGGGCGUAAAGAGCGUGUAGGCGGGUAUUUAAGUCAGAAGUGAAAUCCAAUAGCUUAACUAUUGAACUGCUUUUGAAACUGUAUA